rnacentral:misc_RNA from 1 species
UCUCCGUAGGUGAACCUGCGGAGGGAUCAUUACCGAGUGAGGGCUCACGCCCGUCCUCCAACCCUUUGUGAACACAUCUUGUUGCUUCGGGGGCGACCCUGCCGUUUCGACGGCGAGCGCCCCCGAAGGUCUCCCAACACUGCAUCUUUGCGUCGGAGUUUGUUACAAAUGAAACAAAACUUUCAACAACGGGUCUCUUGGUUCUGGCAUCGAUGAAGAACGCAGC